rnacentral:rRNA from 1 species
AUUGAACGCUGGCGGCAAGCCUAACACAUGCAAGUCGAACGAGUGGCGGACGGGUGAGUAAUGUCUGGGAAACUGCCUGAUGGAGGGGGAUAACUACUGGAAACGGUAGCUAAUACCGCAUACCAUCGGAUGUGCCCAGAUGGGAUUGGCUAGUAGGUGGGGUAAAGGCUCACCUAGGCGACGAUCCCUAGCUGGUCUGAGAGGAUGACGAACAGUACGGGAACGGAGACACGGUCCAGACGACUACGGAAGGCAGAAGAGGGGAAUAUUGCACAAUGGGCGAAAGCCUGAUGCAGCCAUGCCGCGUGUAUGAAGAAGGCCUUAGGGUUGUAAAGUACUUUCAGCGGGGAGGCGUUACCCGCAGAAGAAGCACCGGCUAACUCCGUGCCAGCAGCCGCGGUAAUAC